rnacentral:rRNA from 1 species
AUUGAACGCUGGCGGCAGGCCUAACACAUGCAAGUCGAACGAGUGGCGGACGGGUGAGUAAUGUCUGGGAAACUGCCCGAUGGAGGGGGAUAACUACUGGAAACGGUAGCUAAUACCGCAUACCAUCGGAUGUGCCCAGAUGGGAUUAGCUAGUAGGUGGGGUAACGGCUCACCUAGGCGACGAUCGCUAGCUGGUCUGCGAGGAUGACCAGCCACACUGGAACUGGGAAACGGUCCAGACUCCUACGGGAGGCAGCAGUGGGGAAGUUUGGAAAAUGGGCGCAAGCGUGAGGCAGCCAGGCCGCGGUGAGGAAGAAGGCCUUCGGGUUGUAAGGUACUUUAAGCGGGAAGGCGUUACUCGAAGAAGAAGCACCGGCUAACUCCGUGCCAGCAGCCGCGGUAAUAC